GAUGAACGCUGGCGGCGUGCCUAAUACAUGCAAGUCGAGCGAAUGGAUUAAGAGCUUGCUCUUAUGAAGUUAGCGGCGGACGGGUGAGUAACACGUGGGUAACCUGCCCAUAAGACUGGGAUAACUCCGGGAAACCGGGGCUAAUACCGGAUACCAUUUUGAACAGCAUGGUUCGAAAUGUAAAGGCGGCUUCGGCUGUCACUUAUGGAUCGACCCGCGUCGCAGUAGCUAGUUGGUGAGGUAACGGCUCACCAAGGCAACGAUGCGUAGCCGACCUGGGAGGGUGAUAGGCCACACUGGGACUGAGACACGGCCCAGACUCCGACGGGAGGCAGCAGUAGGGAAUCUUCCGCAAUGGACGAAAGUCUGACGGGGCAACGCCGCGUGAGUGAUGAAGGCUUUCGGGUCGUAAAACUCUGUUGUUAGGGAAGAACAAGUGCUAGUUGAAUAAGCUGACACCUUGACGGUACCUAACCAGAAAGCCACGGCUAACUACGUGCCAGCCGCCGCCGUAA
rnacentral:rRNA from 1 species